GCAUGGGUGGCUCAGCUGGUUGAGCAUCUGACUUCAGCUCAGGUCAUGAUUUUGCAAUUCGUGAGUUCAACCCCCACAUCGGGCU
rnacentral:tRNA from 1 species